UACGUAGGGUGCGAGCGUUGUCCGGAAUUAUUGGGCGUAAAGAGCUUGUAGGCGGUUUGUCGCGUCUGCUGUGAAAAUCCGGGGCUCAACCCCGGACUUGCAGUGGGUACGGGCAGACUAGAGUGUGGUAGGGGAGACUGGAAUUCCUGGUGUAGCGGUGAAAUGCGCAGAUAUCAGGAGGAACACCGAUGGCGAAGGCAGGUCUCUGGGCCAUAACUGACGCUGAGAAGCGAAAGCGUGGGGAGCGAACAGG
rnacentral:rRNA from 1 species